rnacentral:tRNA from 1 species
AGAAGUUUAGGUUAAAUCAAACCAGAGGCCUUCAAAGCCCCAGAACAAGAGCAACUCUACCCUCCUAACUUCUG